GACGAACGCUGGCGGCGUGCUUAACACAUGCAAGUCGAACGGAAAGGCCCUGCUUUUGUGGGGUUCUCGAGUGGCGAACGGGUGAGUAACACGUGAGUAACCUGCCCUUUACUUUGGGAUAACUUCAGGGAACUGGGGCUAAUACCGGAUAUGAGCUCCUGCUGCAUGGUGGGGGUGGGAAAGUUUCGGCGGUUGGGGAUGGACUCGCGGCUUAUCAGCUUGGUGGUUGGGUAGUGUCUUACCAAGGCUUUGACGGGUAGCCGGCCUGAGAGGGUGACCGGCCACAUUGGGACUGAGCUAAGGCACAGCCUACUCCGCGAGGCAGCAGUGGAGAAUAUUGCAUAAUGGGAGGAAGCCUGAUCCAGCAACGCCGCGUGCGGGAUGACGGCCUUCGGGUUGUAAAGCGAUUUCGUCUGUGACGAAGCGUGAGUGACGGUAAUGGGUAAAGAAGCACCGGCUAACUACGUG
rnacentral:rRNA from 1 species